CAACGAUAAAGGCAAAACUGCUGAAAAGCAGUGACGCAAAGCUACGGACCUACUGUGACGAUCGGUCACUACGGCCGCCGGGCUGCCGAA
rnacentral:ncRNA from 1 species